rnacentral:rRNA from 1 species
AGCUCGUAGUUAAUUUCGGAUCGGGUUGAGUGGUCCGCCUUCUGGUGUGUUUACUGCUUGACCGGGUCUUGCUUCUUGGUGAACCGUGGUGUUCUUUAUUGAGUGCUGCGUGGAACCAGGACUUUUACCUUGAGAAAAUUAGAGUGUUCAAAGCAGGCACUUUGCCUGAAUACAUUAGCAUGGAAUAAUAAAAUAGGACAUGUGGUUCUAUUUUGUUGGUUUUUAGAGCCGCUGUA